rnacentral:rRNA from 1 species
GAAGGGCUCGCAGGCGGUUUCUUAAGUCUGAUGUGAAAGCCCCCGGCUCAACCGGGGAGGGUCAUUGGAAACUGGGGAACUUGAGUGCAGAAGAGGAGAGUGGAAUUCCACGUGUAGCGGUGAAAUGCGUAGAGAUGUGGAGGAACACCAGUGGCGAAGGCGACUCUCUGGUCUGUAACUGACGCUGAGGAGCGAAAGCGUGGGGAGCGAACAGGAUUAGAUACCCUGGUAGUCCACGCCGUAAACGAUGAGUGCUAAGUGUUAGGGGGUUUCCGCCCCUUAGUGCUGCAGCUAACGCAUUAAGCACUCCGCCUGGGGAGUACGGUCGCAAGACUGAAACUCAAAGGAAUUGACGGGGGCCCGCACAAGCGGUGGAGCAUGUGGUUUAAUUCGAAGCAACGCGAAGAACCUUACCAGGUCUUGACAUCCUCUGACAAUCCUAGAGAUAGGACGUCCCCUUCGGGGGCAGAGUGACAGGUGGUGCAUGGUUGUCGUCAGCUCGUGUCGUGAGAUGUUGGGUUAAGUCCCGCAACGAGCGCAACCCUUGAUCUUAGUUGCCAGCAUUCAGUUGGGCACUCUAAGGUGACUGCCGGUGACAAACCGGAGGAAGGUGGGGAUGACGUCAAAUCAUCAUGCCCCUUAUGACCUGGGCUACACACGUGCUACAAUGGACAGAACAAAGGGCAGCGAAACCGCGAGGUUAAGCCAAUCCCACAAAUCUGUUCUCAGUUCGGAUCGCAGUCUGCAACUCGACUGCGUGAAGCUGGAAUCGCUAGUAAUCGCGGAUCAGCAUGCCGCGGUUCCCGGGCCUUGUACACACCGCCCGUCACACCACGAGAGUUUGUAACACCCGAAGUCGGUGAGGUAACCUUUUAGGAGCCAGCCGCCGAAAGUGGGACAGAUGAUUGGGUGAA